UACGUAGGGUGCAAGCGUUAAUCGGAAUUACUGGGCGUAAAGCGUGCGCAGGCGGCUAUGCAAGACAGAUGUGAAAUCCCCGGGCUCAACCUGGGAACUGCAUUUGUGACUGCAUAGCGUAGAGUACGGUAGAGGGGGAUGGAAUUCCGCGUGUAGCAGUGAAAUGCGUAGAUAUGCGGAGGAACACCGAUGGCGAAGGCAAUCCCCUGGACCUGUACUGACGCUCAUGCACGAAAGCGUGGGGAGCAAACGAGG
rnacentral:rRNA from 1 species